rnacentral:rRNA from 1 species
AGAGUUUGACUCAUGGCUCAGGAUGAACGCUGGCGGCGUGCUUAAUACAUGCAAGUCGAACGAAGCACUUACGACAGAUCCCUUCGGGGUGAAGAUGUUUGGUGACUUAGUGGCGGACGGGUGAGUAACGCGUGGGUAACCUGCCUCAUGCAGGGGGAUAACAGUUAGAAAUGACUGCUAAUACCGGCAUAAGCGCACGGAAUCGCAUGUUUCUGUGUGAAAAGAUUUAUCGGCAUGAAGAUGGACCCGGCGUCGUGAUUAGGUAGUUGGUGGGGUAACGGCCUACCAAGGCCGACGAUCAGUAGCCGACUUGAGAGGAGUGAUCGGCCACCAUUGGGACUGAGACACGGCCCAGACUCC